CCUACGGGAGGCAGCAGUGAGGAAUAUUGGUCAAUGGGCGCGAGCCUGAACCAGCCAAGUAGCGUGAAGGAUGACUGCCCUACGGGUUGUAAACUUCUUUUGUAAGGGAAUAAUGAGAGUUACGUGUGCCUUUUUGUCAGUACCUUACGAAUAAGGAUCGGCUAACUCCGUGCCAGCAGCCGCGGUAAUACGGAGGAUCCGAGCGUUAUCCGGAUUUAUUGGGUUUAAAGGGAGCGUAGAUGGGUUGUUAAGUUAGGUGUGAAAGUUUGGGGCUCAACCGUAAAAAUGCAAUUGAUACUGGCAAGCUAGAGUACAGUUGAGGUAGGCGGAAUUCGUGGAGUAGCGGUGAAAUGCAUAGAUAUAACGAAGAACACCGAUAGCGAAGGCAGCUUACUAGACUGCCACUGACGGUGAUGCUCGAAAGCGUGGGUAGCAAACAGGAUUAGAUACCCGAGUAGUC
rnacentral:rRNA from 1 species